GAUGAACGCUGGCGGCGUGCUUAACACAUGCAAGUCGAACGGAAAGGCUCCUGCUUGCAGGGGUACUCGAGUGGCGAACGGGUGAGUAACACGUGGGUGAUCUGCCCUGCACUUCGGGAUAAGCCUGGGAAACUGGGUCUAAUACCGGAUAGGACGAUGGUUUGGAUGCCAUUGUGGAAAGUUUUUUCGGUGUGGGAUGAGCUCGCGGCCUAUCAGCUUGUUGGUGGGGUAAUGGCCUACCAGGGCGUCGACGGGUAGCCGGCCUGAGAGGGUGUACGGCCACAUUGGGACUGAGAUACGGCCCAGACUCCUACGGGAGGCAGCAGUGGGGAAUAUUGCACAAUGGGCGCAAGCCUGAUGCAGCGACGCCGCGUGGGGGAUGACGGCCUUCGGGUUGUAAACUCCUUUCGCUAGGGACGAAGCGCAAGUGACGGUACCUGGAGAAGAAGCACCGGCUAACUACGUG
rnacentral:rRNA from 1 species